UACGUAGGGUGCAAGCGUUAAUCGGAAUUACUGGGCGUAAAGCGUGCGCAGGCGGUUUUGUAAGACAGAGGUGAAAUCCCCGGGCUCAACCUGGGAACUGCCUUUGUGACUGCAAGGCUUGAGUGCGGCAGAGGGGGAUGGAAUUCCGCGUGUAGCAGUGAAAUGCGUGGAUAUGCGGAGGAACACCGAUGGCGAAGGCAAUCCCCUGGGCCUGCACUGACGCUCAUGCACGAAAGCGUGGGGAGCAAACAGG
rnacentral:rRNA from 1 species